CACAGAGUUAGCCGGUGCUUAUUCUGCGGGUAACGUCCACUCAUCUUAGGUAUUAACUAAGAGAGCCUCCUCCUCGCUUAAAGUGCUUUACAACCAAAAGGCCUUCUUCACACACGCGGCAUGGCUGGAUCAGGCUUGCGCCCAUUGUCCAAUAUUCCCCACUGCUGCCUCCCGUAGGAGUCUGGGCCGUGUCUCAGUCCCAGUGUGGCGGAUCAUCCUCUCAGACCCCGCUACAGAUCGUCGCCUUGGUAGGCCCUUUACCCCACCAACUAGCUAAUCCGACUUAGGCUCAUCAUUUAGCGCAAGGUCCGAAGAUCCCCUGCUUUCUCCCGUAGGACGUAUGCGGUAUUAGCAUUCCUUCGGAAUGUUGUCCCCCACUAAAUGGCAGAUUCCUAAGCAUUACUCACCCGUCCGCCGCUAGGUCAGUUACCGAAGCAACCUUCCCCGCUCGACUUGCAUGUGUAAGCCUGCCGCCAGCGUUCAAUCUGAGCCGAGGAUCUAAA
rnacentral:rRNA from 1 species